rnacentral:lncRNA from 1 species
CCAGCUUUCACCUUUAUUGGUAUGAGUUGAGGGGAAAAUGUCUUUAUCACUGGUGCCUGAGUCCCAUCAUAGUCAUUAUUCCUCUGGAUUAAGACUUGAUUCUCUCUUAAAAUGGAGGUGCUCUUGGGAGGGAUAACCCGUCACAUUUCUAUUUCUUAGUGUGAAUGAAGUUAUGCAAUCCAGCAGCAAGUGAUGAAUUUUGGUGGUAAUGCCCUGGGCACCCAGAAAAGAAAAUGACAUGCAAACUGGGGUGGGCGGCAACAAUGAGAUUCUGUGACUCUACAGGCUUAUGGAGAGCUCGUCCCACUUUCUAAUCCACCUCCUUUGUUUGGUGUUUUGGAUUUUGGAAUUUGGAAUUUUGGAACCAGAAGAUCUGAUCCAGCUUUGGCUCUGUCACCCGUGUGGCCCUGGGUAAAGCCUCUUGGAAGGGUUGAAGACAAUACCUGUGGUAGCUGCUGAUGAGGUGGUUGUAAAGAGCCAGUGAGAUAAUAUGUGGGAAAGUUCAACCACACAGAUUCUACUCCUAAGGAAUCUGUUACGCCGAGUGCAACUGACUUCACUGUUGGAAGGCUAUGCCUCUUCUCUGUGUGCCAGUCAAUUCAGCAUCAGUGUCCCCUGCAUGAUCUGCCAAGCAGAAUCAGACCGUGACAAAUCUUAACCACUUUAUCGACCUGAGAGAUGAUCCUGGAUGGUAUAUUAAGUGACUAAGGUUUAGAAGUUACCAAACACCCACACUGAGUUUUAAAGACUUCCUUUGAAAGGGAUGAUGACUGCCAGCCUAGGAGCUCUCCGAGUUGUUCCACAUGAAGAACACACUCAGCUUUUGGUCUAUAGCUCCCAGCCCGGGUGGUUCUGGACACUGCUGAACCAUCCCCCCUUCCAAGAAGAGUUCUCUGCAGCAGGUGAAGUCCUUCUCAGGAGGUCAGAGCCCUCGGUCAUCUGGCAAUUUCAUAGGAUUGAAUAUAUUUGCUCCCUGACAUGAACUUGGUGGUUUUUUUCUAGUUCUUAAAUGACAGGGUGUCAACUGGAGGCUGAGAUGUAGGUGAAAUUACCUUCAACUCUCUAAUAACUGGGCCUGUGGAAAGUGAAAACCAAGAUUUCUGCUACAUCUCCCUAGGGUGGACUAAUCAUAUGUCGUUCUCCGAGCCUCUGCUGCCUCCUUGGCUUUCCACUUCCUCUUGGGUUGUCU